AGUGGCGUACGGGUGCGUAACACGUAAGUAAUCUACCUUUGGGUUCGGAAUAACUUCGGGAAAUCGGAGCUAAUACCGGAUAAUGCAGCGGCACCGCAUGGUGAUGUUGUUAAAGUUUGUGUAAUGCCUAAAGAUGAACUUGCGUCUGAUUAGCUAGUUGGUGAGGUAAUGGCUCACCAAGGCUGCGAUCAGUAGCUGGUCUGAGAGGAUGAUCAGCCACACUGGAACUGAGACACGGUCCAGACUCCUACGGGAGGCAGCAGUGAGGAAUAUUGGGCAAUGCCCGAAAGGGUGACCCAGCAACGCCGCGUGGAGGAUGAAGGCCUUCGGGUUGUAAACUGCUUUUGUACGGAACGAAAAGGCUCUGGCUAAUACCUGGGGCACAUGACGGUACCGUAAGAAUAAGCACCGGCUAACUACGUGCCAGCAGCCGCGGUAAUACGUAGGGUGCGAGCGUUAAUCGGAAUUACUGGGCGUAAAGCGUGCGCAGGCGGUUUUGUAAGACAGAGGUGAAAUCCCCGGGCUCAACCUGGGAACUGCCUUUGUGACUGCAAAGCUGGAGUGCGGCAGAGGGGGAUGGAAUUCCGCGUGUAGCAGUGAAAUGCGU
rnacentral:rRNA from 1 species